rnacentral:lncRNA from 1 species
UUUUGAUGUAUUCUUGGUUUCGGUUUGCGAAAAUUUUAUUGAGUAUUUUUGCAUCGAUAUUCAUAAGGAAUAUUGAUCUGAAAUUCUCUUUCAAAAAACCAAAACCAACCAACCAAACAACAACAACAAAAAUGCUGAGAUGAACUACAAGACCCAAGAGACUCACAAGGUGAAACUAAUGAAUGACAAUAAACAGGGUCAAUUGCUAAAGGAGAAGAAUCACUGUGGAUGAUGAACUGAUGGCUGUACUGUAAAUAAUAUACAAUUCAUAUAGUAGCAUCUUCAGACAAGUGAGAAACACACUAAACCUGAAAUCAAAUGAUGAAUCAAGAAGCAGAAAAAGAAAUGCAUCAAGCUAAAAAUUAAAUGACUCGCACAAAUGCAAUUUGGCAAUUGUUGAAGGACAGAUUUGGAGGAAUGUUCUCAAAUUAUGAAAGUUGUGUUGUUUAGAAAAGAAGUAGAAAAUCUCUCUGGGAAAUAUUUUCUAAAUAUUUCUUAUCUUUUCUGUGAAGAUCUAUGCUUGUAAAUCGAAUU